AUGAGGAGAGGGUCAAAAUCCCUAGCAGCAGCCCCGAUCCCCUUUCGGGCCUGGCAUCACAUCUCUCUCCCUCACCCCUCCUCCUUCACCUCCGGCCGCCGCCACGGCCAGGCCGGCGUGGUGGUGCGCCAUCCAGCCACCACUCCAUUACCGUCCCUCCAACGCCAUCCAUCACCAACGCCAACACCCACUACCAGCAUCCACCACUCACCACCAUCUCCAGCCACCGCCGCAUCUUGCACGCCCGACCAGACAAGGGCGGCACGGGCGUCUGGUCAUCCGCGUGAACGCCCCCGCGCUGCUGCUCUUUCUCUCUUCCUCCCCUGCUGCUGCUCCUCCACCUUUCUUCCUCUCCUAACCUUGUUGCUGCUCUUCUACUUCUUCUUCCCGCAUCCCCGCUGUCCUGCUCCUUCUCUGAACCUGCUGCUGCUAUCGCGCUUUGCUACUCCCCACGUCUCUACUGCUGCAUCUCUGCUCCUCUCCCUAGCGCCUCCAUACUGCUGCUACUACUCCUUUCCUUUGCUGCUUCCGAAUACAUGUUAUUGCAUCUUCUCAGAUAUGGCUUACUAUUCAGAUCAUCAUGCUUAUGCGAGCAACACUACAAACAGCACAGAAAGUAUUCAAGACCUGAUAAGUAAGAUUUCCCAUCGAUUAGAUGAUUUAGCUCGGCAGCAAGAAGUAGUUUUUGAGGAUAGGCCUAGCUCUUAUGAUCCUUAUUCUAGAGGCCAUCCUUAUGUUGCUCCUACCUGCCAUAUUUGUGGAUUUCAGGGCCAUUCGCCCGCUGAAUGUCAGCGUGGUUACUCUCACCCUCCCGAUUGUUAUGGCAUGAGCUUCGCCCCACAGCCUAGCUCAUACCAAAAUAAUUACUCAUAUGGGUGGCCUGGAAACCAUAAUAUGUCAUAUAGGAGCAACAACCCUGAGAUCUCAUCGUUUGCCUCUAGUAAUCAUAUGCAGGGAAUUAGGUACAAUGAGGAGAGCCACAACUAUGUACCACCACAAUUUUACUCACCUCCUACUCAUAUACCUCAACACCAGGAGAUGUUGCCAAUGGAGUUAAAUGGUCCUCCAUUUGGUCAACCAACACCUUCAACACAAGUGCCUACUCAAGAUGAGUUCGAUGACAUAGACAAGCUCACACUUUUGAGUCUCGAGUUCACUUGGAGUGCCGAGGAUGAUCCUAUUAGGAAGGUUAUACUAGAGGAAAUGAAGAAGAUCAAGAGUGGGAAUGAGCUAGUGGAAGAAGUAAAGAAGAUUGAGAAGAACAUCAACGCUGCCAGUACUAUUUCUUCACAGCUUGAGCUGAGUGUUUCUGGGAUUCCUCUUGAUACAUGUGAGGUUCCAACACCUUCACAUUCAGCUGAGCAAGAUAGCGAGAGUCCAGAGGAAGAGAUACUUCAGAUCCAAGAAGAAAUACUCAAAGCCAAGGAACAAGAUGAUCUAGAGCUCAAAUGCCCAAGUGAUCAACUUGAAGAUCCAAUGUCUUUCUCCCCUGAAGAAGUAAAAGAAGCUGCUGUAGUUGAAGAUGAAGAACCAGAAAUACAUUUGCCUAUUGUCAUACAUGAGCGUGAUGUGUCAGGUUUACCCAAUCCUCUUGAUGACAUGCUCCCUUAUGAUUUCUUUGCUUCUAACUUGCAUUGCAUGAUGCCAUUACUUAAGGUAGAUUUGAAAAACUAUUUGCUUGGACAUGAUCAUACACAUCUUGUUAGUGGCAUUACUCUCAUUUGUGAUGAUCACAGUUACUUUCCUCGUGCUAGUCCUAUGCUAAAUGAAACAUAUCAUUCCCAUGCUAGUCUUGAGCUUAAUGAUAAAUAUCAUCCUCAUGUUAGUGUUGACUUUGCUGAUUUCUACCAUCCUAAACAUGUGCUUUAUAGAUAUGCUUAUGUAAUUGGAUAUUUGAUUGAUGACUUGGAGGGUUUUUGCUUGUGCACGAUCCACUACAUGCUGACAAGGUUCGAGGUGACAUUCCUUGGGACCCUGGUGGACUCAGAGCAUGGUGACGAGGAGAAGCAAGGGGCACACACAAAGAAGAGUGAAGCUGGAGCAUCCAUGAUGAAGCAAAGACAGGUGUAUACCAUGUUCUUGGAUCGGUGCUUCAAGGGCAAGAAAGAAAGAGUGGAUGGAUCAACUUGUGAAGUAGGCAGAGAAGUAGAAGGGCCGAAGUGCAAAAAUGCAGAUCUGAGGAGAGGGUCAAAAUCCCUAGCAGCAGCCCCGAUCCCCUUUCGGGCCUGGCAUCACAUCUCUCUCCCUCACCCCUCCUUCUUCACCUCCGGCCGCCGCCACGGCCAGGCCGGCGUGGUGGUGCGCCAUCCAGCCACCACUCCAUUACCGUCCCUCCAACGCCAUCCAUCACCAACGCCAACACCCACCACCAGCAUCCACCACUCACCACCAUCUCCAGCCACCGCCGCAUCUUGCACGCCCGACCAGACAAGGGCGGCACGGGCGUCUGGUCAUCCGCGUGAACGCCCCCGCGCUGCUGCUCUUUCUCUCUUCCUCCCCUGCUGCUGCUCCUCCACCUUUCUUCCUCUCCUAACCUUGUUGCUGCUCUUCUACUUCUUCCUGCAUCCCCGCUGUCCUGCUCCUUCUCUGAACCUGCUGCUGCUAUCGCGCUUUGCUACUCCCCACGUCUCUACUGCUGCAUCUCUGCUCCUCUCCCUAGCGCCUCCAUACUGCUGCUACUACUCCUUUCCUUUGCUGCUGUCCCAUCUCCCCUACCCCUGCUGCUUCUCUCCUCACGCCCAUGCUGCUGCUCCAUUCCCAAUCUUGCUGCUGCUGCUGCUCUCUCUCUCUCUCUCUCAAAUUUCCGUAAUCUUCAGAAGUGUCAUAACUAGUACUAUGUAAUGUUCAGUUUUGAUAAGUGUAGUAUCCUGCUGUUUGGUUCAGUUUCGAAUUUGUAAUAUAAAUGCUUGAUUAGUAUGCCCUGACUAGUUGAUACCUUGUUACUUUGGGAGAUACUUGAUCUAUUAUAUUUUGGUUCUAUCAAUUAGUAUUCUGCUAGUAUAUGUGUGUGUGUGUGUGAGAGUGUAAUUCAUCAAAAAUAUUGUUGUGUGAUGAUGAUAUUUGUUCAGUCC
rnacentral:rRNA from 1 species